AGCAAAUCCACUGAGCUGUGGGGAUCCCUUUCCUCCUCAGCCAGGGCUAGAGGCCAAGACCAGCCCUGGGUGUCAUGGGGAUUACUGUCAUAAGGACUGUCCUGAGUAGGCAGCCCUGUUUUCCUGCCUCAAACACUG